UUCUCUAAUGCCUUCCCUCCUUAUGGAGUAUUGGGCGCUCUUGCGUUUCUUAGCCAAAAGUAAAAGAUGCCUGAUUGGCUGGAUCAGCGCAUCCUCUUCUGUUUUAUUCUUUCGAAAUUUCCUCUACAAGUAUUUUCCAUUCAUCUCUGUUUCUCGCUCUCUGUUUGACUUCUCUCCAUCUCAGGUCAAUUAUUUUAUGAUCUCGUGUUACAGUUCUUCUCCAGCUAUUAUCAGGUCCUCCGCUUCUUCUUAUUGUAACGGUUCACGUUACGAAAUUAGAUCUUUAAUUAUUUUUAUAAUUAUUUUCUCUUGAUCUCUUAAUUAAUUUCUCUAGUUUUCGCGUAAUUAACCAUUUCUAAUUAUUAUCAUUUCUAUUUAAAAUUUCGUGCAACGAUGCCACACCUAAGUAUAUACAAGAAUCUACAGGUCGAGCAAGUCUCGUAAAUUUCACGAUUGCGAGCCACGCUUCACGCAACCGUGUUUGCGUACUUGUGUUUCGAGUUGCGUGGUCGUGCGGAGUUAUAUUUACCAAAUUUAAAUCCGUUCCCAAUGCUGCCAAAAUUAAAUCAAUAUGUCAAUAUGGCUACUGGCGUGGCUACUGGCGUGGCUACUGGCUGUAAAAGAUAAAUCUUAUUCUAUCUGUUCUUAAUGAGUUUUAGAUAAUUUUAGUUGUAUUUCUUUGUAAUUUUGUGUUGUACAAAGAUUAAUUUAACAUUUUCUCUGGAAGUAUUAAUUUAGAAAGAUAAUAUGCUUCAUUGGUGUUGUGUUUUGAAGUGUGAAAUGCAAAGUAAUUGUGAUAAAGUCAAGAUAAAGUUCACUUUUAAACUGAACUAAAUAAGGUAUCUGAGAGACAACAAUGGUUAAAUGCAAUACAAUGUACAGGUUUUACUAGCGAAAUGAAAAUUUUCCUGUCCUGUCUGCUGUAAUCAUUUUAUAUCUGGAAAACCAGCCGACUUAAUCGAUAAUAACAAUCUCCAGAUUGGGUUCCUUCAAUAAAUAUGGGCUAUAAACACAAUGAAAUAAGUUCCCCAAAAUCUAAAAUGGAGUGAUAUCAAAGGAGAAUUAAAGGAAAAAAUAUUCAUAUUGAAAUUAUUUAUAAGGCACUGGACUGUCUUAAAUUCUACAAUAAUACUAGAAUCAGCUGAGAGAAGUGGUCUACAAAAAACCAGGAAGGAAACGGAAUAUGUGGCUACGAAAGGCAAAAGAAAGGUUUACAAAGCAAAUGUGACACAUUUUUGUGAAAUAUUUAGGAAUAUCAGUAAAUUGCAUUAAAAAAAUGUAUGAAAAGAUUUUGUUCAAUAAAAAUGUUUAUAUUUAUCAAGGAUGUAUUAUUUGGUAUGGCCACAUAUCGUCAGUGAUGUAAUAAUACAU